rnacentral:lncRNA from 1 species
CAAGGGACAGAAAUGGCUUCUGGAGAUAACUAAGCCACAGUUAAAAUAUCUGUUUUCCCAAAGAUGGAAGGCAGGUCUUGCAAUUUGUGUGCAAUGACCAUUCUGUGCCAUAAAAAGAACAGAGGUUCUCAAGCCAGGUGAAAAUUCAGAAGACUAUGGCUGUCCAAUUUGCUAUCAAGUCACCACAGGUAAGACAUCUAUUUAAAUACAUUCUUUUUCAACAGCAGACUUUCCUUCCUGAUUCCACAGCCUCAGCCCAGUUCAGUUUCAGGCCUGUUUCCCAAGCUGGUUUGAUGAAUGCUCUCAGAGUCCUUCGUCGUUGUAAACAGGAGAAAGGGGCUUGAGGAUGCUGCGAGCAUUGCUCUCCACGAGAGGCCUCCAGCUCACCUCACCCGUCAGCAGCAGGUCCUCCCCGCUCAGCGCAUCCAGGUGCUGCACCUGUUUGCGCACAUACUCUACGAGUAGCUCCAGAUGCCGAGGGUCCUCACAGUUCCUGUUAAAAAGGUUUCUCCACAGAGCUGCUGCCAGAACGUGAUCAUCAGACAGGAUUCCCUCAUCAUAUCCAAACAGAGCUGCAUAGAAAUUUUCUACCAUACUUCUCAAAUCUUGCUUUAGAACAACAGAAUUAAUCCCCAUCACCUUGCCACGCUGUUCAACAUCCUCCCACAUACAAUGAACGAUAUAGCGACACAUGUAUUUUCCUGCUCGACCCUCCUGCUUCAUUCGCACCAGACACAUCCAGACAUGAAGCUGGGCUACUAGAAACCAUGAAUUCAAUGUAUCGGGCAUUUGGCACCUGUUAAAAAAUUCCUCGUAGUCAG